UACGGAGGGGCUAGCGUUGUUCGGAAUUACUGGGCGUAAAGCGCGCGUAGGCGGACCUGCAAGUCGGGGUGAAAGCCCGAGGCUCAACCCGGAACGGCACCCGAGACUCCGGGCUCGAGACCGGGAGAGGAGGGUGGAAUACCCAGUGUAGAGGUGAAAUUCGUAGAUAUUGGGUGGAACACCGGUGGCGAAAGCGGCUCUCGUGGCCGAUCUGACGCUGAGGCGCGAAAGCGUGGGGAGCAAACAGG
rnacentral:rRNA from 1 species